GUGCAGGGAAGGGGCGGGCGCGCGUUGCCCGGCAGCCGCAGCCUAUGGGGGCGCGGGGCGCGGUCACGUGCGCAGCCCCGCUCGGCGCUGCGGAGCCGGAGGAGCCGGACGGGGCCGCGGAGCCGGGACGGGGCCGCGGGGCAGCGCCGGGGCCGGCGCCGAGCGGGGUGAAUUAGAGAAAGUGACUCCCAGAGCACCUUGGCUGUAUGAAGUCUUGAGCUGUCAAAGGACUGAGAGGCUUAUGAAGAGGUUCUGUCAGGCAAAACAGUGCUUAGCAAAGACACCAAGGAGGAGGGAAAAGGAGAAAGGGAGGGAAAGAGAGCUGAAACACUAACAAACCAUGAGAUCGAUCCGAUCUUUUGCUAAUGAUGACCGCCAUGUAAUGGUGAAACAUUCAACCAUUUAUCCAUCUCCAGAGGAGCUUGAAGCUGUCCAGAACAUGGUCUCAACAGUAGAAUGUGCCCUUAAGCAUGUCUCUGACUGGAUGGAUGAAAAGAACAAGUCUGCCAAGUCUGAGGGUGAUGCAGAAGCCAAGGAGGUAGCUGCAGAAGGCGCUGCCAAGGAUCAAGGUGGUCGGACGUUAUGUGGUGUUAUGAGAAUUGGCUUGGUUGCAAAGGGCUUGCUGAUCAAAGAUGAUAUGGAUCUGGAGCUGGUUCUCAUGUGCAAAGAAAAGCCCACAAAGACCUUGUUAUGUAUUGUUAAAGACAAUCUCCCAGCUCAAAUUCAGAAACUUACAGAAGAGAAGUAUCUGGUGGAGGAGCAUGUAAAUGAGGCAGCUAUUGUUAUCCAUAACACAAAGGAGCCCAAGCUCACUUUGAAGGUGAUACUCACAUCCCCUCUCAUCCGAGAUGAAGCAGAGAAGAAGGAAGGAGUAGAUAAUGUUGCGAUGAAAGAUCCUCCGGACUUAUUGGACAGGCAGAAAUGCCUGGAGGCCUUGGCGUCUCUGCGGCACGCCAAAUGGUUUCAGGCCAGGGCAAAUGGACUAAAAUCAUGUGUAAUUGUCCUCCGUAUUCUACGGGAUUUGUGCAACAGAGUCCCCACAUGGGCACCGCUGAAAGGCUGGCCACUCGAGCUUAUAUGUGAAAAAUCUAUAGGUACUUGUAAUAGACCUUUGGGCGCUGGGGAAGCAUUGCGACGAGUGAUGGAGUGUUUGGCAUCUGGAAUUCUGCUUCCCGGGGGCCCGGGGCUGCACGACCCCUGUGAGCGCGAGCCCACGGACGCUUUGUCUUACAUGACAGUUCAGCAAAAAGAAGCCAUUACACACAGUGCUCAGCAUGCGCUCAGAUUAUCAGCCUUUGGGCAGAUCUAUAAAGUUUUGGAAAUGGAUCCCCUCCCAUCAAAUAAGUCAUUUCAGAAAUAUUCCUGGUCAGUAACUGACAAAGAAGGUACAGGCUCAUCUGCUCUGAAGAGACCGUUUGAAGACAGUGUCGGGGAUGAUAAAGAUCCAAAUAAAAAGAUGAAGCGUAAUCUGAGGAAAAUACUAGAUAGUAAAGCAAUAGAUCUCAUGAAUGCUCUGAUGAGGCUGAACCAAAUCAGGCCAGGGCUUCAGUAUAAGCUGCUGUCACAGUCUGGUCCAGUCCAUGCCCCAGUCUUCACAAUGUCUGUAGAUGUUGAUGGUACGACUUAUGAAGCAUCAGGACCUUCUAAGAAAACAGCCAAGCUCCAUGUGGCAGUGAAGGUUUUACAAGCAAUGGGGUAUCCAACAGGUUUUGAUGCAGAUGUGGAGUGUGUAAGUUCUGAUGAAAAAUCAGAUACUGAAGGUAAAAAUGAAACAAUGUCUUCAAUCUCAAGCAAUAAUAAUACUGGAAAUUCCACAGCUGACACCUCCGCUACCCUAGAGGUAAGAACUCAGGGUCCCAUACUCACAGCAAGUGGCAAAAACCCAGUGAUGGAGCUCAAUGAAAAGAGAAGAGGUCUGAAGUACGAGCUCAUCUCUGAGACAGGGGGAAGCCAUGACAAGCGCUUUGUGAUGGAGGUAGAAGUAGAUGGGCAGAAGUUCAGAGGUGCAGGCCCAAACAAGAAAGUAGCAAAAGCAAGUGCUGCAUUAGCAGCACUUGAAAAACUGUUUUCUGGGCCUAAUGCAGCAAAUAACAAGAAAAAGAAGAUUCUUCCUCAGACUAAAGGGGUUGUCAAUACAGCUGUUUCUGCAGCAGUCCAGGCUGUUCGAGGCAGAGGACGAGGUGCUUUAACACGAGGGGCAUUUGUUGGGGCAGCUGCUGCUACUGGAUACAUAACACCAGGCUAUGGAGCACCAUAUGGAUACAGCACAGCGGCACCAGCCUACGCCAUAUGCACUUGUAUAAAAUAAGCAGAAAUGUAGUGACUGUAAGCUGAGAUCGUGAUAUAAAAGCAUAAAAAGCUGUGUUGAUACUGCUGUGUCAGGCACUGCAUUCCUUGCAUCCCUGUGGACACGUUUGGGAACUUGCACCUGGGAAAUGAGCUGAGGAACGGUUCCAGGGGCUGGCCCUGGAAGCACAUAAUCCUUCCAUGACAUCUGCAGGACAACUGAUGAGCAAUCAGAACGUCCUUCCUGUUCAGGGGGCAGGUUUCCAUCUGCUGUUAUCUUCAAGGUGCAAACUCGGGGCUGGAUCUGCAGUUCACCUACAGUUCAGUCCCUUUUUGAGCCUGGCAGGCCCAGCAGUGCUGAUCCUGGAGCAGCAGGCUGCUCUGCUCCUUCAGAUAGGAUAUUAUAUUCAUCAAGGUGCAUUAUAAUGAACUUCUGAAUAUUCCUUUCCUAAGCUUAACUGCUGUCAGGCUGACAAGCACUGUCCACUUCAAGGACUGAUAACAAACAUCUUGCUGACUCUCAUUUGAUCUGCUUCUUUGUGGACUGUGCUUGGCAGCUUAAUCCAUCUGUAUUUCUUUCCAUCAGAAUUGCUUUAACUGUGGAUUUCUGUAUUUUUCCACCAUCACUCUUUUAACUCUUAAAAUCCUAAGCUUUCCACUCUCCUGCUGGUUUUUUAAAAUUAUCUCAACAUCACUGCAUCUUUCUCCUCUAGAUUUCUCUAAUACCCUGCUGUUUGUAAUGCUGUAAAGCAUUGCAGUAUUAUGUCUGAGAUGGCCCCUUGCCUUUGCUGCCUUCCUUUUCAGUAGGAGAGAACCAUUUGUGAUAUGUGAAACACACUAAGAUUCCUAAAUCUUUAGGUUCUGCAGCCACUGGCAAUCAGAGAUAAGACCCUAAGGUGCCUGGAAACCCCUCUCAUUGAUGUGGAACGUGAGAAAAUAGCCCCAUGUAUUGAAGGGUCACAGAGUUGGCUCUGAAGUGCCCAAUGUAUUCACAUUUGAAAGAGCAGCCAAUUCUAUCAGGAGGUUUUAGCCUAAUACCAAGCUAUCAUCUGAUGAGUAAUUUGGGUAACAUCUGCUUCAUCAAUGUUGCAACAAGCAUGGUUUGCUAAGGCAGAACUAGCUCAUUUCUUCUGCAUAAUUCUUGUAGGUUUCCUUUUAAAAGCCUCCUCACAGUAGCCUGAAUUGCCUUUUCUGUGGAGUUGGAGGUCUGUGUUACUGCUACUGAGCUUUGUAUUUCUGCAUGUACCCAAGAGCCAAACAUGUAAAUCUGGUUCUGUAUGCUCUGUGCAGCUGCCAGUAGCAUUACCAACUCUGGAGUACCUUUUCAGUCGAGCAGAAAUGGUAUUUUACAGUUUGAAUUUCUAGUUCAUGGAAAAGAAUUCUGAAAAAGUUCCUUUCAAUUAGUACAUCUAUAAAUAGCAGACCAGGGAAAGUCUGUGCCUAUACACUACCCACCUUAACGCUAGUUUUAGCUAACCAGAUGAUCGUGUGUAUUUUGGGAGAUGGUGUCUGGCACUUAAAGGAUUAAAAGCCAGAGAUUUACAAUAAAGAACCGACCCGCUUCAUGUGUUCUCUCUGCUGGAAAUGAAUGGCAUCACCACUGACUUUGGAAUAACACCUGUGAGCUUUAGGGGUCUGCUUCAGUCCCACUUUUGCCAGCCACAUGAGACUCCUCCAGGCAUGCUCUGCUAGAGAUGGGUUUAGAGUAACCAGGCUGGUUUGGAGGGCUUGGCUAGCUCAAAGCAUGAUCUGUGGUGCUUCCUGCCAUCGUGUUCUCUCUCUGCCAGUGCUUGCUGUCUUCCUUAAGCACACAUUCAGGAGCUGGAACACGGUGACCUUAUUCCUGGGCGUUUCGCCAGUUGGAUGGAGGGAGGCCAGCCUAUGCUCCUGAAGGGAAUGUGUAACACCAGGCCUCGGUUGCCCAAGCAAUUUCUGUUGGACACAGUGCACAAUCCAACCCUCACAAAGGCAAUUUAGUGCCUGGGUAGGUGGUUCCUAAUCUGUCUAAUUUGCUGUAGUGUAGCCAGUGUGAGCUAAUUAGAUGAUUCAGCAAUUGUCAUGGCUCCCCACUUAAUGUGCUGUAAAUGCUGCUGCCACAACAUUCACUGCUGUUAAAUACCUUUGCUUCUGUGAAUUCUGUCCUCCUGCCCUGCCUUUUCUGAUCAUCUUCUAGUAUCUCAGUAAAUAACUGAUUCUCUCAAAUUAUGAAAUUGUUACAUCUAAGUAUCUAGAGACUUAAAAACUUUCAAGCAGACUGUGAAGCACUUCAGAGAAACUAGUUUUCCUACAAAUAUUUCAAGUUAUUCAUGUGCCAGAGGACUAUUUCUACUCAUUAACAAAGAUCUGAAAACUGCUCCAGUAUCUCUCAUCUCUGGAGACAAGCAUUCUUUCUUUGAGAACACUUGCCUUCUGGUAGGAAAAGAUUUAAAGUGUGUCUUAAUAAAAGACUGUGCCCUCAAGCCCCUGAAAUAACUUAAUUGCAGAAAAGGGCACAAAUCUAAAAUUUUGCUUUCAUUGAGCUAUUGAGAACAUUUUCCCUGACAACAAGUUCCUCAGAUUAUUAGGAUGUAGAAAAUGCAGGAGGAGGGGCAUGAAGAUUUUUAAAGUAGUUUAGGGAAAAAAUCUUGUUGUUUGUUGGCUGUUCAGCUCUGGGACAUCAUUCUCUUGUCACUUCUUUAUUUCCAAGACAGCAAUAAAUGUGAGCAGCUUUAACAUACCAUCUCUGAUCCAGUCCUGGAACCAUCCCUUGGAGAGUGAGCGUGGCACUCCCUGUUUUUCCUUCCACCAACUCCCUGAAAUAAAGUCCCUUGCUUCAUUUGUAAUUCUGUAUCUGUACUUCUGAGCCAGUCUAGAGAUGGAACUGCUGAACAUCUCUCCAAAUGUGUAUAAAAGACAAGACAGUAUUUCAGUCUUUACUCAGACAAAGUUACAAGUUUCCUUCUGCCUCUUGUGCUUGGUAUACCAAGAUAUGCUCACUCAGUAUUAGAAGUUCUUGCCUUUAGCUAAAUUCUAAGACAGUUGCCUGUUACUUAAUGAAGGGAAAACAAUGUCCCAGCCUCACUGAGUUCCAAGUCACAAAGCAGCUUACAAAAACAGCUCCUAUUUCCGGUGGCUCUGGGAAACAGCACAGCUCUGCUGCUGUGGAUUCCUUUGGAUACAUGAUGAGAUGUGUAAACAUGAAAUUCAGAUUGUUGUUCUGUCAUGAAGCUGACUAGGACCUCGCCUCUCUGGCAUCAAAAGAAUGAAAAUGAGCUCUGUGCUGGGCACGCUGAGGAGCUCUGUUAGGAACGGCUGUUCUGUUUCAAAAAACAGUAACUCAGCUCAAAUGUUCAGCACACAGACCCCCUUGGGCUUCCUGCUGAAUAAUCCAGUGAAAAAUGAGGUAUUUUAUUGACUUGUUUAAAGCAGAGCAAAGAGACAGGGUAGCUGAAUCUGCUGUCUUAGUAUAGGAGACAGCUUGUCUAACGGCUUGGUGGUUUCAUUCCACUGGAAGUGGAAAUUCUGCUAAAGUCAUUUCAGAGCACUUCACCAGAGAAACCCAGCACUGAGGUCCUGUGCCUAUGGACCACAGCAGUAGUUUCACAUGCACUUUCUUUUGAACAUAAACCAUUUAAGCUAGUGGUUUAGUUGGCAUGAAGAGAAUUGUCAUCACUAAACUGUUUUAUUACUUAACCCCAGAGUGAUGUCUUCUUAGCUUUAUUUGUGUCAUCUGAAUCCAUACCUAUUUCUGUCCAGGUAUUCUGGUGCUUUUUCUGCUCACAGAUACGACAUUCACUUGUUGGUUUGUAACUGAUAUAUGAGAUAAUACAAAAGCACAAGACACAUCUGCCUGUUCCUCUGUCUACUCCUCUCUCUGGGGUUUCCUUGGAGAAAGGGGGCUCUUCCUCCUAGUCUGAUGUUGUGUAGCAAGGCAAUGCUUUACUGUGAGUGUUGUGAGUUAGGUAAUAGUUCAUCAGAAAAUAAGGUUUAAAUUCAGUAAAGUGGUUUUUUUCUCCAGUUCCUGAGACUGAAUGAAACGUUCAUACCACAUUGUUUAUCUUGAUGUUUAUGAGGAGCUGAAUGUCCAAAAGUGGUGUGUGGAGAUGUGCAGUUCUAAAGCAUAUCUCUUAUUCUGGAUGUUGUUUUAUCUUGUAUUUGGUGCCUUAACUCUGUAUAAUUUAAGGCCAUAUAUACUGUACCACAGUAUAUAUGUAGCACACAGGUGUUUCAGUACUUGUGUACUUUAAAAGAGCCCAUCAAGCCUAGUCUACAGAAACUCUUAUACAGACUGAAGCUUUCUCAGGGGGAGUACUCUUCCAUGUUUAAUUAAUAAUCCACCAAGAAGAGACAGUUGUAAGAAUAUAAAGAGCAUUUAAAAAUUUUAACUGCAGACUGAAUUUAUCUGAGACUGAAUUUAUCUGAUUUCUAGUUUCAAAGGCUUGGGGCAGUAAGAUAACUAAAGCUGCAGUCUCUUCUCUGCUGUGUAAGUAAACGACUUCAAAAUGUUUUCGCACCAGCCAGAACUGCAUGUUUGUGAAAACCACUGGACUGUUAUCUCUACUAGAAUAAAUAACACUUAAUUUUAAAAGGCAUUAAUUGAAUGUAACUGGCUAUCCUUCAUUGGUUAGUAGAGUUGGAAUGAGUAAGAGCUGCAGUUAAUUUUUAAUUAAUUAAACUUAAGCCUCAUUUAUACCUCUAACCAGGAUCUAGAAGCUCCAGCUGCCUUAUGCUGCAAAGCAGUUCAUGAGGUAUAGUGCAACAUCAGCUUGAACACAGGAUUUCUGAAUGCAUCUGCUUCUGGCAGAAUACACUGAGGCAAGAGAGAGAAAAGAUAACAAUGGAAGUAGAAUAUCCUUCUCCAGUUUUAGAGGUAAAGCAUCAUAGCUAGAAGUUGGAGGGAAAGUAGCACUGCCUUUUCUAAGUCCAUUAAGAGAGUCUGUGGUAAAACCAAGAGGUUUAUGUGUGCUGGGGAAAGCCAGCAGCUUUGUGUACUGCGAGCAGGGGGAGCUGGGAUUGCUUUUACAAUAGUUAGUGAGAAAUUAGGUAUGAGGUUUAAGCUAUCCAUACAGCAGGCUAAAGGCUGCUAAUGGUGUUGCUACAGGAGAAUUUAUUUCUUCUGUUCAGUAAGUAAGUCCAAGAGGUGCUGGUUUUCCAGAGGACGAAUGCAAGAAAUACAAUGGGCAAAUUUUGUUUCCUGAUGCAGCCUUACCCAAAACAGAGAGAUAGUUCCAGGCAGUGUACAGAGCAUGCAGUUGAAUUUUGGGAGGGAGGAAUAAUAGUAAUUUCCUCCAAAGGAACAGUAGUUAGUUGUUUCUGCAAUGCCCACAGUAUUCUAGACAAGCUGCCUUUACACAGAGGAGCAUGGCAACAAAGGAAAGCAGGUACUGCUCCCACAAUGACCUGUGCAAUGUACACAUUUCAGGUCACCAGUAUUGGUGUAACUCCUUAUGACAAAGUAGGUUCAUCUUACCAGCAAAGUGUAUUUUGACAUUCUAUCCACUUCUAUUUUUUAAGCUAAAGGGGAGUUAAUCAUAGCACUCAUCUGUUUCGAAGGGAGUAGAGCAGAAGGUAAGUUUUAACUUCAUACUUUGAAGCUGCUAUGAAUAGAUAAACAGUGUUCCAUGGAAACAACCUGAUGUACUUAUUUUCUUCGAGCUUCAUUUCUGUGUUCUUGCAAAAGCACAAGCUUGUGUAAGCGUAAUCAAUACAAAGUUACUCAGGGUACUGCAUCAUCUCAGCAGUGGACACUAACUGCAUCUUAAGACAACAGGCACACAUAAAUCAAGCUUAAUUAAGAGGAACAGGACAUCUUGGCAAGUUUUGCUUUACUAUUGGCACUGCUACAAUUUAACGAUCUAUGCAUAUCGAAAUGUGUGUAUUGCUGCACUCCCAACAGAAUGUGAGUCUUGUAAGGGUGUCCUGUAAAGUAACAAAGUCAGGGUAAGAGAGACAGUAUUUAUUCUUCUGUCAUUAUUUUCACAAAGAACUGUUUCUAAGCAGAUGGAAUGUCAUUCUGCUCAAAGGAGAAUAACGGUGGGCUAAAGCACAGCAUUCAGAGCAGUACAGCUUUUGAAAAGUUAGUGAUCCUAUGAAUUUAAUUAUGAAAAUUCUGAUUUGCAGUACAGAUUCUUUCCUGUAUUUUUAAUCUCAAUAUCACUGUUUCCCUGCUCAAAAGAACAAGAUAAAUACAAGUGUAGUUUUCUAAUAACAUCUAUUGCAUGGAAAUCGACAUACACUGGAAGAAAAGGGAGGCUGUACUGCAGAGAGCAUAUUCAACUACAGAGCCAUUCUCUGGGCAAUGCUGCAUAAUUUAGGAGUGGGUAACCAUGCCUUCAGGGACAACAUGACACAGAGCAGAUGGUUGAAAAAAAAUCACAGAAAAAAGGCCUCCAAGCUUUGUCCAGUCAUACAUUUAUCCCUCCCUGCAAAAGGGGACAGGUACAUUCAUACAUGCAUAAUGAGUUUCCUGUCAGGCAUCACAGAGGUCCUUAAGGACAAAUGUUUUGGAGCCAGUCUCCUUUUGGACAGAAAAAGGAGGAAGUUGACUCUGUCUUCCAGUUCCAAGGUGCAGUGUCUUAUUUCUCAUCCUAACCCUAAGUCAAUAUUUAUUGAUCAAACUGACUAAGCUUUUUAGGCCGACCAGCUCUCUACGAAGCAAUUCUGUUCUCUUGAGCCUCUGCAGGGGCCAGUAACUGGUGCUUAACUACUGCUUCCAGUCCGGAAUGUCACCGUCCUCCAGCUGCCCCAGAGCCAGGCUGGGACACUUGCACUUCUCAGAGAGCAACACUGCUGGGGGUGGGGGCUCUCCAAAGCACUGAAGUACGACAGCAGAGCAAGUCCCAGUGGGCUGUAUGCUUUUUAAAGUCCUGUCCAGUUCUUAGUGACAAAGUUGAGCAUGAAACCUGUACUGCCAAAUGUACCAGCCCCUUGCUGAGAAGGGCAUCAAUGGGAAGCAGUCUCAGAAGUGGAGAUUUUGAGGAAAGGCUGGUGCUUUCCAAGGCCAACUCACAAGCUUUUUUUUAAUGGUUGAAUUUCCACCAACCAAAAAUCACCAUCAAUGAAAUCAAUUAAAAUUGCUGCUAAUUUUGGGCUAAAAUAUCACCUUUGUGUAACCCAAACCACCAUGCAUCUGAAGAAUUCUUAGGCAAAGACUUGUAAGGAGGCAGAGCCCUUCAGACAGGAAAUCUGGCAGUGCACUCUGAUGUGACUUUUCCGAUGAUAAUUACUUCUCCAAGACAAGGCAAAGACAGAGGCAGUGCUUUGGGGCAGUGUUUCAUGCUCAGCAAGUUUGUAGAGGGAAGGAAUGAAAUUCUAUAAAUCACUUGUACUGUAUUUGUUUCUAGACUUGAAUGAAUUUCACUUUUCCUUUGUGAGUCAGCGUAUAAAACGUUAAAGAAAAUGUCUAUUUUUCUAAAUCUCUUUCACCAAUAGAGGUCUGACCUGCAGCCAAGAGAUGGGUUUAUUUAUCCACAGAGGAUGGAGUGUUUAUUUCUGAACUAAGAUUGGAUAUGGCAUUGAAUAAAAAUAAGUAUGACCUAUAAACUAUCUAAACCUUAAAUACUAUGAACGAAUUCCACAAAUAAGUAAUAUGGUGGAUGAUUCCAUCUUUCUUCCCAAUAAAUCUCUAUCAAAGAAGUUACCCAGAAUUAAACUUCCAAAUGAAGUACAAGAGAUCCUUGUGGUCUAAUUACAGAGUACUUUCAAAAUACUUCAGUUUUCUCCCAAUUUGUAAUCAGUAGAGAACAAUGAUAACUGAACUAUUCAAAACUAUAAAUAAAGCAAUUUCAAAUAAAGUAAUUUGGCAACAACCAUGGCUAUUUAUAGCACUAAAAAUAUAAUUUGAACAUUUGAAUUUUCUUAAUUUGGCAGCAGUUGAGUGGGAAGAAAAAUAACUGCACAGUGAAUUUUAAAUUGAGCUGUAUCUACUCACUGGCCAAAAAAGCCUGCAAAUGUAAAGGGAACGCUCUUUGUACCUUCAGUUGCUUCCUCCCGUGCUGCUGUACCCCAUACACUUGGCUUCAUUUGGCUUCUGUGCUGUGGUUUGUACGCCAGCCACUGUUACUGACUGUACACAACACGAUCUGCACUGUAAUCUCGGGUCAUUUCCACUGGUUGUAACCCAACACUACAGACUUCUCUGUAUAUAAAACCAGAACCAUGUCCCAUUUGCUUCCAAUAGCUCCAAUAAAGACUUAUCUCUGUAAACAGGAA